rnacentral:rRNA from 1 species
UUGAAUGGCCGCGGUAUUUUGACCGUGCUAAGGUAGCAUAAUCAUUAGUUUUUUAAUUGAAAGCUGGAAUGAAGGGCUGAAUGAAAAAAAAACUGUCUCUAUUUAAUUUUGUUAGAAUUUUAUUUUUAAGUUAAAAAGCUUAAAUAUUUUUAAAAGACGAGAAGACCCUAUAGAGUUUUAUUAUUCUUAAAAUUAAAAAAUUUAGUAUUAAUAUUUUUAAUUAUAAAAAUAAUUUAAUUGGGGUGAUUAAAAAAUUUAAUGAACUUUUUUAUAUAAAUAUAUUAAUUAAUAAAUGCUUGAUCCAAAAAUUUUGAUUAUAAGAUAAAAUUACCUUAGGGAUAACAGCGUAAUUUUAUUAGAGAGUU